GCUGGCGGUAUGCUUAACACAUGCAAGUCGAACGGAAACGAUAGAAGCUUGCUUCUAGGCGUCGAGUGGCGGACGGGUGCGUAACGCGUGGGAAUUUACCUUUUAGUGGGGGAUAGCCCGGUGAAAACCGGAUUAAUACCGCAUACUACUCUACGGAGGAAAAGGGGCCUCUCCUUGGAAGCUCUUGCUAUUAGAUGAGCCCGCGUAAGAUUAGCUAGUUGGUUGAGGUAAUGGCUCACCAAGGCAACGAUCUUUAGCUGGUUUGAGAGGAUGAUCAGCCACACUGGGACUGAGACACGGCCCAGACUCCUACGGGAGGCAGCAGUGGGGAAUAUUGGACAAUGGGCGCAAGCCUGAUCCAGCAAUACCGCGUGUGUGAAGAAGGCCUGAGGGUUGUAAAGCACUUUCAAUAGGGACUAAAUGUUCGUAGUUAAUAACUGCGGAUCUUGAAUUAACCUAUAGAAGAAGGACCGGCUAACUCCGUGCCAGCAGCCGCGGUAAUACGGAGGGUCCGAGCGUUAAUCGGAAUUACUGGGCGUAAAGCGCGCGUAGGCGGUUUAUUAAGUCGGAUGUGAAAGCCCUGGGCUCAACCUGGGAACUGCAUUCGAUACUGGUAAACUAGAGUAUAGUAGAGGUAAGUGGAAUUCCAUGUGUAGCGGUGAAAUGCGUAGAUAUGUGGAGGAACAUCAGUGGCGAAGGCGACUUACUGGACUAAUACUGACGCUGAGGUGCGAAAGCGUGGGGAGCAAACGGGAUUAGAUACCCCGGUAGUCCACGCCGUAAACGAUGUCAACUAGCCGUUGGGAGCAUUUGAGCUUUUAGUGGCGCAGCUAACGCAUUAAGUUGACCGCCUGGGGAGUACGCACGCAAG
rnacentral:rRNA from 1 species